rnacentral:lncRNA from 1 species
GUGGUGGAGGGGGCAGAGGGGAAGGUGAAGGAGGUGGUGGAGGGAAUGGUGAAGGAGGUGGUGGAACAACUGGAGACGGAUAAGGUAAGGGUGGAGGAGGGGAUGGUGGAUGAGGUGGUGGAACGGUUGGAGAUGGAUAAGGAUAUGGUGCAAAAGGUGGUUGAGGGGAUGGGGGCGGAGGUGGUGGAGGGAAUAGUGGAACGUCUGGAGAUGGCGGAGGGGAUGGUGGAGGAGGUGGUGGAACGAUCGGAGACGGAUAAGGAAAUGGUGCAGAAGGCGGUGGAGGGGGUGGAGGGGAUGGUGGAGUAGGUGGUGGAAUGGCUGGAGACGGAUAAGGAGAUGGCUCGGAAGGUGGUGGAGGGGGCGGAGACGGAGAUGGUGCAGAAGGUGGUGGAGGGGGAGAAGUAGAUGGAGGAGGUGCAGAAGGUGGUGGAGGGGGAGAAGGGGAUGGAGGAGGUGGUGGAAUGGCUGAAGAUGGGGGAGUGGGCAGAGGGAAUGGUGGAGGAGGUGGUUGAACGGCCGGAGAUGGAUAAGGAGAUAAUACAAAAGAUAAUUCCUUCGUCGGAUAAGAAGCCAAUGAAUUAAUGGCACAAACACCAUAUGGCAAAUCACCGUUUCUUCUUAUAUAUCCAUACCCCUCCACUCCCCAUGAUGUACCCCAUGAAUUCUUGAUUAUCCAGUAGUCAU